UUAAAAUGGGGGAAUGAAAUAUGAGCUAUCUAUUGCAUAUGCUGGCACAGAGUUAAAAAGGACACCUUUUCAAUGGUGUCAAUGUGUUUCCAAAUAGGACACCAGUUUCUGCCUUUAAUAAAGUUAUAAGGAGCCUUAGCAGUGGAAUUAGAGUCCAACUAGUGUUGAACCGUUAUGAAUAAAUAAAACCUUAUCAUAAUUUCAGAAGGCAGACAUUUCCAAUACAAAAAAAUGCUCUAAAAUGAGCUGUUCAAUUAUCUCUUUAAUGCAUGAAUCGGCAAUAAUCAUCCAGUAAAAUGAGAAAUUGCCAACAACUUCUGAAACAUUUCUGAAAGUAGCCUAUUUUAUAUUUGUUCAGAAACACAAAAGCUUUUUUGGGCGUUUUGUUUGUAAAAUGGUGCAAACACAGGAUGUACGUUUUAAUUGUCAUGGCUAGAAUUUUCUGAGGUCUCAACAUAAAAUGCCUGCUGAAACUGAAAAUAACUCCCGCAGAAACAUUUAGGACAAAGGUAUGAAGUGACAGGAUUAAAAAUAUAUAAGGUCAAAGCUAUUAUAAAAAUCUAGCCUUGUUUUAAAGGUUUUUUAAAUCUGCAAUUGUAGUUCUGCACUUAAUGCAUUAGAAACUGAUUUCUCAGUUGAUAAAUGAAUGAUUCAGUGUCAAACAGCUUUGUGCUAAUCCAGUGUGUUCUAAUCCAGUACCAGGGUGGUUUGUAUUUCAAAUAAAUUGUCUUCAUGCAUUAUUUAAGCCAAACCACUGGAUAAACUUAAAUGUGUAUUCAGCACCUGGUAACAAUAAUAAUUAUAAAGGUGAGUAUCACUGUGCAUAAUGCUGAGUUAAAAUCCUUAUAGUCUUGUAUUACACAACAUACUGUACUAUGAAAUUACAAAUAAAGCCUGUUACACCUCA